rnacentral:rRNA from 1 species
CACGUAGGGUGCGAGCGUUGUCCGGAAUUAUUGGGCGUAAAGGGCUCGUAGGCGGCCAACUAAGUCAGACGUGAAAUCCCUCGGCUUAACCGGGGAACUGCAUCUGAUACUGGAUGGCUUGAGUUCGGGAGAGGGAUGCGGAAUUCCAGGUGUAGCGGUGAAAUGCGUAGAUAUCUGGAGGAACACCGGUGGCGAAGGCGGCAUCCUGGACCGACACUGACGCUGAGGAGCGAAAGCCAGGGGAGCAAACGGGG